UACGUAGGGCGCAAGCGUUGUCCGGAAUUAUUGGGCGUAAAGAGCUCGUAGGCGGUCUGUCGCGUCUGUUGUGAAAACUCGAGGCUCAACCCUGGGAUGCCGGUCGAUACUGCCGGACUAGAGUUCGGAAGAGGCGGAGUGGAAUUCCCGGUGUAGCGGUGAAAUGCGCAGAUAUCGGGAAGGAACACCUAUGGCGAAGGCAGCUCGCUGGGACGUACUGACGCUGAGACGCGAAGCGUGGGGAGCAAACAGG
rnacentral:rRNA from 1 species